UACGUAGGGUGCGAGCGUUAAUCGGAAUUACUGGGCGUAAAGCGUGCGCAGGCGGUUUUGUAAGCCAGAUGUGAAAUCCCCGGGCUUAACCUGGGAAUGGCAUUUGGGACUGCAAGGCUCGAGUGCGGCAGAGGAGACUGGAAUUCCUGGUGUAGCAGUGAAAUGCGUAGAUAUCAGGAGGAACACCGAUGGCGAAGGCAGGUCUCUGGACCAACACUGACGCUGAGGAGCGAAAGCCAGGGGAGCAAACGGG
rnacentral:rRNA from 1 species